UGUGCUAGGUUGGGAUUUUGCGGUGCCCUGUAUCCACAAUCCGCAAUAGUGGAACCGAACGUCUUUCUCGGCUUGCUUUAUUGAAAGCCGCAUACUGUAAGGAGCGAUGAUAACAAGGUCUCAUCCAACGAACUACCGCGAACCGUGUCAGGUCAGGGAUGAAGCAGCACUAAACGGAGCUGUUCGUGUGCCAUGAGGUUGCUUUGUUGUAGCCACCUGCAGUGUUCCCG
rnacentral:SRP_RNA from 1 species